UCAGUUGGUAAGCAGGCACUUAACAGAGGGGCUGCUCCAAGCAGCCCUGAGAAAAGCUUUUUAUGAGCAUGCCGUGUACAUCACCCGCCCGUCUUAGUGGAAUCCGAUACUAAUAAUUAACACACACGUGAAACAGAGAAAACAAAGACAUACUCCUUACAGAUAAAUCAGGCAGGAACCACAGUAGGUUUAAGAAAAAUGUUUCCUGAUGGAUAACUGCUAAUUCACAUGCUGCCCAACCCUUAUAAUAGUAAUUAGAAGAGAGAAUUAAAGUGUCCUACUGAUCCGGCAAAUCAGAAUCUCCCCGGAAUCUACAGCAAUCAGUCUACGCAUGCAGAAGCUCAACAUCAGUGCAGCACUACAUGGAUGGAUGUUAGAUGGACGGACGAAUAACACAGCAUCAAUAUCAAAAGGUAUGGAAAAGGCAGUUAGGGUUGGAAUCAGAUAUGGAUUUCGGGACAUGGAGAAGCCCUUUCAUACAUUUAAGUAAAACUAAAAUAAUGUCAAAAGAGCUUUCACAUUAUUUUAGUUAAAAAAAAUGAUAAAUAAAUCCAUUUGAGUGAAUUAAUCAGAGCAUCAUGAAUGAGCUGCAAUUUUAGCUGAGUCCAGGCUAUUUCAGUGGCAAGACUCACCGGUCACAUCUUUAGCAAU